AUGUAUAAUGUGGGAAUCAUGAUGCUGGCUUGCAGGAAAGCUUAUAUGAAAUACUUGGAUAAAAUAUACAAGGGAAGUGAGAUAUCGUGGUUUACUCCUGUGGAAAUUUUUAAGCCUUGAUAUGCCCAUGGGAUAGCUGAAGCCAUAAUGCGUACUGCUAACCUUUCAGUUCCUCUUAAGGUAAGAUUCCUCUUUUUGAUAUUUCUACGGACUAUAAUUACAAUCUUGUCAAACUACAGCUCAGUUGAAAUCAGUCCCUCACUGGCUGAGCUACAAAGAGAAACUGUUGGAGAAGUUCGUAGUCACUUAUCAAAGUUUUGAGUCGAAUGCCGUGAUGCUGCUGACAGGAAGGGAUGGGGGGACGUGCAGCAAGAGCCAUGCUGGGUAAUAAUUCUUGAUGUACUUGAUAAUCUUCCACAUGAUCUCAUCUAUUCUGAAAAUCAAGUUUCACCAUGGAAGGAAGUUUGGGUGGCGAACCAAGAUGGGGAAACACUAACUGAAUUGUACAAGCCAUUGCAAGACUCACUAAUUAAGAAAUGCAUUAAGAUCAUUGACUUUGAGAAAAAACAGGAUUCUCAAAGCAGUGCAUUAUUAAAAAGUGUUUGGUCUAAAGUCUUCCCAAAACCUAGAAGAAGUUGGCUACCAACUGGUUGCUUGAAACUGUUACAUGGAGCACUACCAAAGAUGUCUUUGAUUGCUUCAGACUUUAGUUACCUACCUGACGUGAAAAUACUUGGUGAAAGACCUCCAUUGGUUUCAACCAAGAAAGAUGGCAGCAGCACAGACUAUGGCAGUUAUCUUGAUGCAAAGGGGGAUGCCGAUAUCUUCUUCCCUACCGAAUUCUGGUUAUUGGAACGUAUUGAUCAUUACUGUUCUGGAUGGAAGAAGCUGCAAAAAGAUGACUCAUCCAAAGAAGGAAAGAAGAGGCGAACAAUUAUACUUGAUACGUCAUCAUUCAUGGAAGAAUUUGGAUUGCCCUCGAGGACAAGAACCAAGGAUGGAUACAAUCCACUUUUGGAUGACUUCAAGAAUACAAAAUUCUAUUUAAGUGUCCCAACACAUAAUACUUCAUAGAAGGCUGGUAUUAGUGACUUCUUCAUUUCCAAGUUGGCUUUGUCUUGCUGAAUCUGGGUAUCAAAAUUAUACGAGCAUUGCAUCACCAGCUCAACUUUUACUUGUAUUUAUCUGCAUGAUCAGAGUGUCUCUCUUCAAAUAUAGAUACCUAUGGCCGAAUCCUUAGGAAACAGUGAUAUUAUGGCUAUUGAAGAUGGAAAAUGCAAGUCGGCUUUGUUAUGAAUACACAAGAUGAGAAUAAUUUUAGAGAGAAGG